GAUGAACGCUGGCGGCGUGCCUAAUACAUGCAAGUCGAGCGAACGGACGAGAAGCUUGCUUCUCUGAUGUUAGCGGCGGACGGGUGAGUAACACGUGGAUAACCUACCUAUAAGACUGGGAUAACUUCGGGAAACCGGAGCUAAUACCGGAUGAUAUUUUGAACCGCAUGGUUCAAAAGUGAAUGACGGUCUUGCUGUCACUUAUAGAUGGAUCCGCGCUGCAUUAGCUAGUUGGUAAGGUAACGGCUUACCAAGGCAACGAUGCAUAGCCGACCUGAGAGGGUGAUCGGCCACACUGGAACUGAGACACGGUCCAGACUCCUACGGGAGGCAGCAGUAGGGAAUCUUCCGCAAUGGGCGAAAGCCUGACGGAGCAACGCCGCGUGAGUGAUGAAGGUCUUCGGAUCGUAAAACUCUGUUAUUAGGGAAGAACAGAUGUGUAAGUAACUGUGCACAUCUUGACGGUACCUAAUCAGAAAGCCACGGCUAACUACGUG
rnacentral:rRNA from 1 species